AAGAUAGUUUGCCUUUGUUUUUUGCUGCUAAAACUCAAAAAAUCACAAUCAUAUCCGGCAAUUUUGACAGUGAAAAGUUUGAUAAAGGCGAGGUUUUUAAUACCAUACAGUAAAAGUAUAUUACAUUUCUUCUUAGACAUACCAAAAAUUAGAUUUGAGAUUAGAGACAGAUUAGUUAGCGCCUUGCAAUUUCCAAGUGGUAUCGAAUGGCUUGCAUAUACUGACAAAUUCAUUUCAUACUGGAAUACAACCUGAUCUUUCUGGAAUCAGCGUUUUCACCACUGAGCUGUUGGGAUUUAGGCAGCCUAGUCCCAGUCGUUCUGAAGCAAGCGCGAGAAAAAACGUGGAUGUAGUACGAGACUGAGAUCUAGGUGUGACGUCACCGCUAAAGCGUUCUGCACAGCACACCCAGGCAUAAAACUUUUAAGACUUAUUUAAAUAUAUCAAAGCAGCGAAUAGUGAGAGAGAGCCUGGGACUAGGCUGGGAUUUAGGAAUACCACAUGAUGUAGCUCGCAAAAAUUGGAGACAAAUUGAAUGAUAUAUUUUUUUCAAAUUUAAACUAUAUAUAUAAGAAUAUUCAGGCAAAAUUUGUUUUGUAAAUGUAGAAUAAUUUAAUGGAGAAUUUGUAAAAAGUAUGCAAUAAUGUAAUAUAGUUUAUAUUUUAAAACAAAAUUAAAAAAUAAGAAAUGGAACUCUAUACAGUAAGUCUCAUGCAAUAUGUAUGCUAAUUCAGUGUAUAAUUGUUAUCAUCUUGUAAUAAGAUUGAUGA
rnacentral:lncRNA from 1 species